UACAGAGGCCUCGAGCGUUAAUCGGAAUCACUGGGCUUAAAGGGUGCGUAGGCGGAGCCGCAAGUGCCUUGUGAAAUCCCAUGGCUUAACCAUGGAACUGCUCGGUAGACUGCGGUUCUUGAGGUCGGUAGGGGCUGCUGGAACUCUAGGUGGAGCGGUGAAAUGCGUAGAUAUCUAGAGGAACGCCAAAGGUGAAGACAGGCAGCUGGGCCGAUUCUGACGCUGAGGCACGAAAGCGUGGGGAGCGAACGGG
rnacentral:rRNA from 1 species